rnacentral:rRNA from 1 species
UACGAAGGGGGCUAGCGUUGGUUCGGAUUUACUGGCGUAAAGCGCACGUAGGCGGAUCGUUAAGUCGGGGGUGAAAUCCUGGAGCUCAACUCCAGAACGUCGCCUUCGAUACUGGCGAUCUUGAGUCCGGAAGAGGUGAGUGGAACUCCUAGUGUAGAGGUGGAAUUCGUAGAUAUUAGGAAGAACACCAGUGGCGAAGGCGGCUCACUGGUCCGGUACUGACGCUGAGGUGCGAAAGCGUGGGGAGCAAACAGG